GGUUGAUGAAUGGAGGAAUAUGAAGUAGCAGAGGAGGUUGAUGAAUGAAGCAAUAUGAAGUAGCAGAGGAGGUUGAUGAAUGGAGGAAUGUGAAGUAGCAGAGGAGGUUGAUGAAUGGAGGAAUGUGAAGUAGCAGAGGAGGUUGAUGAAUGGAGGAAUGUGAAGUAGCAGAGGAGGUUGAUGAAUUAAGGAAUAUGAAGUAGCAGAGGAGGUUGCUGAAUGGAGGAAUAUGAAGUAGCAGAGGAGGUUGCUGAAUGAAGUAGGAAUAUGAAGUAGCAGAGGAGGUUGAUGAAUGAAGCAAUAUGAAGUAGCAGAGGUUGAUGAAUGGAGGAAUAUGAAGUAGCAGAGGAGGUUGAUGAAUGAAGCAAUAUGAAGUAGCAGAGGUUGAUGAAUGGAGGAAUAUGAAGUAGCAGAGGAGGUUGCUGAAUGGAGGAAUAUGAAGUAGCAGAGGAGGUUGAUGAAUG
rnacentral:lncRNA from 1 species